rnacentral:rRNA from 1 species
AUUGAACGCUGGCGGCAUGCCUAACACAUGCAAGUCGAACGAUUGGCGGACUGGUGAGUAAUAUCUGGGAAACUGACCGAUGGAGGGGGCUAACUACUGGGGACUGUAGCUAAUACAGCAUACAAUCGGAUGUUCACAGGUGGGAUUAGCUAGUAGGUGGGGUAACGGCUGACCUGGGCGACGGUCCCUACCUGGUCUGAGAGGAUGACCAGCCAAACUGGAAAUGAGAAACGGCCCAGAUGCCUACGGGAGGCAGCAGAGGGGAAUAUUGCACAAAGGGCGCAAGAAUGAUGGAGAAAUGCCGCGAGUAUGAAGAAGGCCUGCGGGUUGUAAAGCACUUGUGGUCGGAAAGCGGUACCUGCAGAAUAAGCACCGGCUAACUACGUGCCAGCAGCCGCGGUAAUUC